rnacentral:rRNA from 1 species
UACGUAGGGUGCAAGCGUUGUCCGGAAUUAUUGGGCGUAAAGAGCUCGUAGGCGGUUUGUCGCGUCUGCUGUGAAAACUCGGGGCUUAACUCCGGGCCUGCAGUGGGUACGGGCAGACUAGAGUGCGGUAGGGGAGACUGGAAUUCCUGGUGUAGCGGUGAAAUGCGCAGAUAUCAGGAGGAACACCGGUGGCGAAGGCGGUUCUCUGGGCAUUACCUGACGCUGAGGAGCGAAAGUGUGGAGAGCGAACAGG